AGUUUGCCCCUCUUGCUUAAAAUACUUGCCAACUAUGAGUACUGCACUGCAGGAUGCAUGAUCAUUGCAUGUGGUCAUAUACGUUUUCUGCGCAAGCUAAGUUGCAUGGUUUAAUCAGUUUGUGUGAAGUGGGAACAAUAUUAAACAUGAUUUCAGUUAUAUGACUACCGAUUGCAUGUGCUCCUGUUCUUUCACUGUGCUUGUACGUUUUUUUGUACUAAGUGGCAUGGUUUAAUCUCUGUUUUUAAGGCGUCCCUAAGGCGUCGCUUAGGCGACGCCUAGGCGUCAGGGCGCCCCCAGGAGGCAAGGCGUCGGCCUUGCCUUACAUGUGUGUCUAAGGCGUCCGCCUAGGCGCCACUCUGCCUGCCUUAGGCAAAUAAGGACGCCUUAGACAGAGCUGGGUGGUUUAGGCGGGAAACAGAUAACUGGGAGGGAAGGAAAGGGCGGGAAACUUUGUUUUGGCGCCAACAGCUUCCCCCUCCUCCCCGGCAGAUCCCCCUCCCCUCCUACAGUUCCUCCUCCUCCUCUCCUGCAGAUUCUCCAUCCUCUCCUGCAGAUUCUCCAUCCUCUCCAGAACCAUAUGGGCUCUACAACCAUCAGUUGCAAGGUGUGUAUGGCUGUAUGCCUAGUUGCCUAAUGCCUACCAAAUUCUACUUAAUUCUGUUGCUUACAAGUCUCUAAGGCGUCGCCUCGCCUUAUGCCUUAGCGCUUA